rnacentral:lncRNA from 1 species
GCAAACCACCUGCAAAUGGUUUUAAAUAAUGUGUGAGAUUGUGAGGUCGAACGAAUUAAUCAAAUAUGAUGACAGGAGAAACAAAAUUGAAAUAACCACAAGUAGAAGUAUACUUUUGUUAUAUUUAUAGCAUCUUCUACUGUCUUCUUUUCCUUUAGCUCUGUUUCUGUGUUUGCUCAAUCGCGAUGCCUCAAUCUUUUGCAGCCAUAUGCAGACUUGAAACACCGGGGUGUCCCUAAGGAACUUGAAAAUUAGAAAAGUUUCAGUAUGAGUGACUAAAUAUGAUAAUCGAAACUAAUUUAAUAUACACACCUUGUAAAUCUGAAACUAAAUUACUCAAAUGUAUAUGCCUCUUGGCAGCAAUUGCUCGUGGUGGAAAGUUUACUGCAAAGACUUCCUCAAACCUGUGAAGCUCACACACUUCCUGGCAACAAAGAAACAGAGUCAAUAUACGAAGAUGAUUUUACUAACAAGUGAGAGCUUGCAAAUAUUGGAAGGAUAACGAUUACUCAUAACCCAAAUACCCAAUACCUUCUAAUAUCUCACUCACGUGAGUUCAAGCUCCCAAAAUUCAUUACAGUGAAACUCUCACAACAUAAUUGUCUUCAAAUAUUCUCUACUCAACGAAUUAAUUAAAUAUGAUGACAGGAGAAACAAAAUUAAAAUAACCACAAGAAGUAGAAAUAUACUUUUGUUAUAUUCAGAGCAUCUCCUACUGUCUUCAUUUCCCUUAGCUCUGUUUCCUUUUGUGCUCGAACGCAAUGCCUCAAGGCUCAAGAUAAUUUGAUGACCAUCAAUCUUUUUGCAGCCACAUGUAGACUUGAAAAACUGUUGGCGGCCCUAAAGAACUUGAAAAUUAGAAAAGAUUCAGAAUGAGUGACUAAAUAUUAUAAUCGAAACUAAUUAAACAAACGCGCCUUGAAAAUCUGAAACUGAAUUACUCAAAUGUAUAUGCCCCUUCACAGCAAUUGCACGUGGUGGAUGUUGAGGUUGAUGUGGAAAGGACGUGGCUCCCGCGUAAAACCCACCGCUUCGUUCUAAACUAAGUGACUUUAUGUCGUGAGUUAAGUAGUUUAGGAGAUAACUCAAAUAAUUAAUUUUUUAUUAGUUCAGUAAUAAGAAUUUUCGAUUUUAUUUUAAAAGUAUAAUUCAUUACAAAAAAAAAUACUUAAUAAAAAUAACUGUUAUUGUUAUUGAACAUAUUACAUUUUUUCAAUAAUAAAAUAAUUCAAAAUUUUAAUUAUUAUAACAAUAAAAUUUGUAAUAUAAUCCAUUCAUAUACUACAUACAUCACAUAAAAUAUAAACUAGUACUAAGUAUAAUCAUGUUAUAACUAUUCUUAUAAUAUUCUAUUAAUCAUGUUAUAACUAUUCUUAUAAUAUUCUAUUACUAUCAUAUACUGUCAUUUUCCAUCCGGCAUGUCGAACGUGUAAAGUUUGAGUAAGAUUUAUUAAAGUUGAGUAACAUCUUGUAUGGUCAACGCGUCGAGUGUGGACUUGCAUGAUCGAGUCAGUACAACUAAAGUCGGGUAGAGUUUGGUAAAUCUCUAUAUUGUGUUGAGGUUGGACAACUAUACCUUUUAAGCUACAUAAUUAAACAAUUUAAGUAAAUAUUUGCUAUUUUGACUUAAAAUUUAAUUUGAUUUGAUCUCAUACUUUAUUAUUAAAAAACUUAUAAUAUUAAAUAUUAUAAUCGAAACUAAUUAAACAAACGCGCCUUGAAAAUCUGAAACUGAAUUACUCAAAUGUAUAUGCCCCUUCACAGCAAUUGCACGUGGUGGA